UACGAAGGGGGCUAGCGUUGUUCGGAUUUACUGGGCGUAAAGCGCACGUAGGCGGAUCGUUAAGUCGGGGGUGAAAUCCUGGAGCUCAACUCCAGAACCGCCUUCGAUACUGGCGAUCUAGAGUCCGGAAGAGGUGAGUGGAACUCCUAGUGUAGAGGUGGAAUUCGUAGAUAUUAGGAAGAACACCAGUGGCGAAGGCGGCUCACUGGUCCGGUACUGACGCUGAGGUGCGAAAGCGUGGGGAGCAAACAGG
rnacentral:rRNA from 1 species